AACAGGAUUAGAUACCCUGGUAGUCCACGCCGUAAACGAUGUCGACUUGGAGGUUGUUCCCUUGAGGAGUGGCUUCCGGAGCUAACGCGUUAAGUCGACCGCCUGGGGAGUACGGCCGCAAGGUUAAAACUCAAAUGAAUUGACGGGGGCCCGCACAAGCGGUGGAGCAUGUGGUUUAAUUCGAUGCAACGCGAAGAACCUUACCUACUCUUGACAUCCAGCGAACUUAGCAGAGAUGCUUUGGCGCCUUCGGGAACGCUGAGACAGGUGCUGCAUGGCUGUCGUCAGCUCGUGUUGUGAAAUGUUGGGUUAAGUCCCGCAACGAGCGCAACCCUUAUCCUUUGUUGCCAGCGAUUCGGUCGGGAACUCAAAGGAGACUGCCGGUGAUAAACCGGAGGAAGGUGGGGAUGACGUCAAGUCAUCAUGGCCCUUACGAGUAGGGCUACACACGUGCUACAAUGGCGCAUACAAAGAGAAGCGACCUCGCGAGAGCAAGCGGACCUCACAAAGUGCGUCGUAGUCCGGAUCGGAGUCUGCAACUCGACUCCGUGAAGUCGGAAUCGCUAGUAAUCGUGGAUCAGAAUGCCACGGUGAAUACGUUCCCGGGCCUUGUACACACCGCCCGUCACACCAUGGGAGUGGGUUGCAAAAGAAGUAGGUAGCUUAACCUUCGGGAGGGCGCUUACCACUUUGUGAUUCAUGACUGGGGGUGAAGUCGUAACAAGGUAACC
rnacentral:rRNA from 1 species